AACGCACAUUGCGCCCCUUGGUAUUCCGAGGGGCAUGCCUGUUCGAGCGUCAUUACAACCCUCAAGCAUUUGCUUGGUAUUGGGCUCCGCUGUUCACCCAGCGGGCCUUAAAAUCAGUGGCGGUGCCAUCGAGGCCCUGAGCGUAGUAAAUAUCCUCGCUAUAGGGACCUGGUGGACGCUGGCCAUCAACCCCCAACUUUCUAAGUUUGACCUCGGAUCAGGUAGGGAUACCCGCUGAACUUAG
rnacentral:misc_RNA from 1 species